rnacentral:rRNA from 1 species
UACGUAGGGUGCAAGCGUUAAUCGGAAUUACUGGGCGUAAAGCGUGCGCAGGCGGUUUUGUAAGUUUGUCGUGAAAUCCCCGGGCUCAACCUGGGAAUGGCGAUGAAGACUGCAAGGCUAGAGUUUGGCAGAGGGGGGGUAGAAUUCCACGUGUAGCAGUGAAAUGCGUAGAGAUGCGGAGGAACACCGAUGGCGAAGGCAGCCCCCCUGGGCUAACACUGACGCUCAGGCACGAAAGCGUGGGGAGCAAACAGG